CUUCCACAAUGGGCGCAAGCCUGAUGGAGCAACACCGCGUGAGUGAAGAAGGGUUUCGGCUCGUAAAGCUCUGUUGUUAAAGAAGAACACGUAUGAGAGUAACUGUUCAUACGUUGACGGUAUUUAACCAGAAAGUCACGGCUAACUACGUGCCAGCAGCCGCGGUAAUACGUAGGUGGCAAGCGUUAUCCGGAUUUAUUGGGCGUAAAGAGAGUGCAGGCGGUUUUCUAAGUCUGAUGUGAAAGCCUUCGGCUUAACCGGAGAAGUGCAUCGGAAACUGGAUAACUUGAGUGCAGAAGAGGGUAGUGGAACUCCAUGUGUAGCGGUGGAAUGCGUAGAUAUAUGGAAGAACACCAGUGGCGAAGGCGGCUACCUGGUCUGCAACUGACGCUGAGACUCGAAAGCAUGGGUAGCGAACAGGAUUAGAUACCCUGGUAGUCCAUGCCGUAAACGAUGAGUGCUAGGUGUUGGAGGGUUUCCGCCCUUCAGUGCCGGAGCUAACGCAUAAGCACUCCGCCUGGAGACUCGCA
rnacentral:rRNA from 1 species